rnacentral:rRNA from 1 species
UACGUAGGGUGCAAGCGUUGUCCGGAAUUAUUGGGCGUAAAGAGCUCGUAGGCGGUCUGUCGCGUCUGCUGUGAAAACUCGGGGCUUAACCCCGGGCCUGCAGUGGGUACGGGCAGACUAGAGUGCGGUAGGGGAGACUGGAAUUCCUGGUGUAGCGGUGAAAUGCGUAGAUAUCAGGAGGAAUACCGAUGGCGAAGGCAGGUCUCUGGGCUGACACUGACGCUCAUGCACGAAAGCGUGGGGAGCAAACAGG